UGGGGAAUAUUGCACAAUGGGCGAAAGCCUGAUGCAGCAACGCCGCGUGAGUGAUGACGGUCUUCGGAUUGUAAAGCUCUGUCUUUGGGGACGAUAAUGACGGUACCCAAGGAGGAAGCCACGGCUAACUACGUGCCAGCAGCCGCGGUAAUACGUAGGUGGCAAGCGUUGUCCGGAUUUACUGGGCGUAAAGGGUGCGUAGGCGGACCUUUAAGUGAGAUGUGAAAUCCCCGAGCUUAACUUGGGGGCUGCAUUUCAAACUGGAGGUCUAGAGUGCAGGAGAGGAGAGUGGAAUUCCUAGUGUAGCGGUGAAGUGCGUAGAGAUUAGGAAGAACACCAGUGGCGAAGGCGACUCUCUGGACUGUAACUGACGCUGAGGCACGAGAGCGUGGGGAGCAAACAGG
rnacentral:rRNA from 1 species